rnacentral:rRNA from 1 species
UGCCUCAGUAACGGCGAGUGAAGCGGCAACAGCUCAAAUUUGAAAUCUGGCCCCAGGCCCGAGUUGUAAUUUGCAGAGGAUGCUUUUGGCGAGGUGCCUUCCGAGUUCCCUGGAACGGGACGCCAUAGAGGGUGAGAGCCCCGUACGGUUGGACACCAAGUCUUUGUAAAGCUCCUUCGACGAGUCGAGUAGUUUGGGAAUGCUGCUCAAAAUGGGAGGUAUAUUUCUUCUAAAGCUAAAUAUUGGCCAGAGACCGAUAGCGCACAAGUAGAGUGAUCGAAAGAUGAAAAGCACUUUGAAAAGAGGGUUAAACAGCACGUGAAAUUGUUAAAAGGGAAGCGCUUAUGACCAGACUUGCGCCCGGUGAAUCACCCAGCUCUCGCGGCUGGGGCACUUUGCCGGCUCAGGCCAGCAUCAGCUCGCUGUUGGGGACAAAAGCUUCGGGAACGUAGCUCUCUUCGGGGAGUGUUAUAGCCCGUUGCAUAAUACCCUUCGGCGGGCUGAGGUACGCGCUCCGCAAGGAUGCUGGCGUAAUGGUCAUCAGCGACCCGUCUUGAAACACGGACCAAGGAGUCAACCUUAUGUGCGAGUGUUUGGGUGUCAAACCCCUACGCGUAAUGAAAGUGAACGCAGGUGAGAGCUUCGGCGCAUCAUCGACCGAUCCUGAUGUUCUCGGAUGGAUUUGAGUAAGAGCAUAUAGGGUUGGACCCGAAAGAAGGUGAACUAUGCGUGUAUAGGGUGAAGCCAGAGGAAACUCUGGUGGAGGCUCGCAGCGGUUCUGACGUGCAAAUCGAUCGUCAAAUAUGCGCAUGGGGGCGAAAGACUAAUCGAACCUUCUAGUAGCUGGUUUCCGCC